rnacentral:rRNA from 1 species
UACGUAGGGGGCAAGCGUUGUCCGGAUUUAUUGGGCGUAAAGAGCGUGUAGGCGGCUUUGCAAGUCCGUUGUGAAAACUCGAGGCUCAACCUCGAGACGCCGGUGGAAACUGCAAAGCUAGAGUCCGGAAGAGGAGAGUGGAAUUCCGUGGUGUAGCGGUGAAAUGCGCAGAUAUCAGGAAGAACACCCGUGGCGAAGGCGGCUCUCUGGGACGGUACUGACGCUGAGGCACGAAAGCGUGGGGAGCAAACAGG